AAGUCGUAACAAGGUAACCGUAGGUGAACCUGCGGUUGGAUCAUUAUUGAAUCCUGCUUCUCUUUUGAAUUCUGCAAGGAAUUUGAUUGAGAAUCAGUAAUGGGGUUUUGACUGGUUGAUGAAAGUCAAUUGGUUUGAAAUCUCUAAAGGGUUGUCUUUUCAAGGCAUCACUUUACACCUUAAAACUCGUUGAUCUAACUACGCUGAAAAGUAUGGUUAGAACAACACUUGAAACUAUUGUUGAUUGAUUGGCUAGAGAGCAAUCAAAAGUCAGUCUUCAACGGUAGCCCCCUAGAAAAACAUCUUGUUAAUCUUUUUUAAACAAUUACUGGACGCAAGAAAGGUAAAAGAAUGAAAAAACAACUUUUGACAACGGAUCUCUAGGCUCUC
rnacentral:misc_RNA from 1 species